CACUACCAUCUUGCUGUGAAUCUACAGGGGAACUUAAUUUGGAUUUCUAUUUCUUAUGCCACCAUACAUUUUGUUUCCUGUGGGAUUGAGAUCUGCUCACAAAUGAGAUUUCUUUGUGGAUGACAUAAUUUUGGGGAUAAAUCAAGCUAAAUUGGCAGGACAUCUGAAUUCCUGUAUCGCAGGAAUCUCAUCUGACUGUGGGAGUAUAAUCUGACCGACUGCUUUAUCAAUAGCAUCCACUGGACCUUGAUUCUUAUAUCAUUACUGACCAAUCAACAAACAAGGAUGUAUAUCAAAAUAGCAGCCGUUGCCUGUAUUGUAGUCUGCUCAUUAAUUGGUUUGUAUAUGUCAGAAAUUGGUUUCUUCACAAUGUUCCUCAUAGCAUUCAUCGUCUUCUCCGCCAUGUUGGUUGCCAUGGGUUUUGAUCAUGCUAUGAUCGCUUACAGCAAGACACAUGUUUCACCAGACAGAAGAGCAUCUAGACUUCCAGACCUUAACCUUAAUAAGGACCAGUAACAACUCAGUGCUGCAAGUGCAGUUGUCCAUGCUUUCUGCAUAUAUAUCUCGCAUAUCGCUAGAAAGAAGACUUUUCAUGAAGAGACAAUGUUUUUGAGAUUUAAUUCAUGAUAAUGAUCCUCCUCAUCUCCAUCGCGAACCAAAUUUGGAAUGAAAGUUUGAUGCUUCCUCACUAGGGAAGCUAGAUGAGACCGAGAAAUCAUUC